UACAGAGGGUGCAAGCGUUAAUCGGAUUUACUGGGCGUAAAGGGCGCGUAGGUGGUAAAGCAAGUAAGAUGUGAAAGCCCUGGGCUUAACCUGGGAAGUGCAUCUUAAACUGCUUAACUAGAGUAUGGUAGAGGGUAGUGGAAUUUCCGGUGUAGCGGUGAAAUGCGUAGAGAUCGGAAGGAACGCCAGUGGUGAAGACGACUACCUGGACCAAUACUGACACUGAGGCGCGAAAGCGUGGGGAGUCAAACAGGA
rnacentral:rRNA from 1 species